rnacentral:rRNA from 1 species
GACGAACGCUGGCGGCGUGCUUAACACAUGCAAGUCGAACGGAAAGGCCCUGCUUUUGUGGGGUGCUCGAGUGGCGAACGGGUGAGUAACACGUGAGUAACCUGCCCUUGACUUUGGGAUAACUUCAGGAAACUGGGGCUAAUACCGGAUAGGAGCUCCUGCUGCAUGGUGGGGGUUGGAAAGUUUCGGCGGUUGGGGAUGGACUCGCGGCUUAUCAGCUUGUUGGUGGGGUAGUGGCUUACCAAGGCUUUGACGGGUAGCCGGCCUGAGAGGGUGACCGGCCACAUUGGGAGUGAGAUACGGCCCAGACUCCUACGGGAGGCAGGAGUGGGGAAUAUUGCACAACGGGCGGAAGCCUGAUGCAGCAACGCCGCGUGCGGGAUGACGGCCUUCGGGUUGUAAACCGCUUUCGCCUGUGACGAAGCGUGAGUGACGGUAAUGGGGAAAGAAGCACCGGCUAACUACGU